AUAGAAAAGAAAAAGAAAAAGAAAACGCUAGCAGCGGAGCGCCACCACCCACCACACAACAGUCAGCCGCUGCCAUCCUCGGUGCUCCCGGCGGUCGGCGAAGGAGACCCUGGGCGUGCUGCUGCUCCGGAGGAACGCUUACCUAGAGCAGGAGCUCGACCUUCGCUUCCGCCUCUUCCGCUCCUAGGAUUCCCCUCCCGACGGGCGCGCCGAGUUCCUUCGCGCCAACACCUCCUCCAUCGGCGCCGUCGUUGGCAACGCAGAUGCCGCAUCGAUGCGCCGUCGUCCUUCUCUGUGGGGACCGACCGCGUCGACCUCCCAAGUGCCGGGAGCGGCGGAUCUGCGUCACCAACACCCCCGACUUCCUCACCGAUGAGGUCGCUGGCCUCGCCAUCUCCGUGCCAAGGAAGACCAUGCAGGCUGACCGCUACGUGCACGCCGGCUUGUGGAAGGCAAGGGGGACUACACAGUCACCAUGCGGGUUAUUAUUUGGUGGCCAGAUCUCAUGAGAGGUGUUGUGUCAAUUGCAUUGGCCUACAAUAAGGGGAAGGGCUGGAAGUACGCCGACGGAAGGGCGCGAUGGCGACCUAUGUCCUUGAGACGGUGUGGCCACCAGUGCGAGGAUGGUGUGGACAUCGGAGCUAGGGCAACGCGUUGAUAUGGGCUGAGAUGACCUCGAGACGGCGGCCACCGAGGCGACACGCCGUGGACACCAGAUCAGGGCGGCUCGCCGAGGCGGGGAUGUCUCCUCAAGACGGCGGCCACCAGAGCGAGGAUGACAUGGACACCAGAUCUAAGGCAGCUCGCCGGGAUGGGAAGGUCUCCUCGAGAUGGCGGCCACCAGGGGCGAGGGCAGUUCGUGGCCUGGUGGCGGCGUUGAUGACGGGCGUAGUGUAUUUUCCUGGAGGUAUUGGGUUGUCCAACAUCCCGUGCGGGGGCAGACGCGUGGGCAGUCUGCCGGCAGAACAUUUGCUCUGAACCGUUGAUCUGAUUGACAGACGAUUGAUGUAAUGUGGACACUUGGAUGCGUUUAAGUUGGUUUGAUCGGACGGGGCUGGUUAUCCUGUGUGCACUAUUUGGUGUGGCUAUAGCGGAAUUCAUGUUUGCUUUUUUAAUAGUAGUAUAGAUAAGCUCGAUUGUUUUA